GGGGAAUAUUGGACAAUGGGGGGAACCCUGAUCCAGCCAUGCCGCGUGUGUGAAGAAGGCCUUAUGGUUGUAAAGCACUUUAAGCGAGGAGGAGGCUCUUUUGGUUAAUACCCAAGAUGAGUGGACGUUACUGGCAGAAUACGCACCGGCUAACUAUGUGCCAGCAGCCGCGGUAAUACAGAGGGUGCGAGCGUUAAUCGGAUUUACUGGGCGUAAAGCGUGCGUAGGCGGCUUUUUAAGUCGGAUGUGAAAUCCCCGAGCUUAACUUGGGAAUUGCAUUCGAUACUGGGAAGCUAGAGUAUGGGAGAGGAUGGUAGAAUUCCAGGUGUAGCGGUGAAAUGCGUAGAGAUGUGGAGGAACACCAAUGGCGAAGGCAGCCCCCUGGGUCGAUACUGACGCUCAUGCACGAAAGCGUGGGGAGCAAACA
rnacentral:rRNA from 1 species